ensembl:lncRNA UBE2Q2P1 UBE2Q2 pseudogene 1
AGACUCUAUCGUACAAAAAAAAAAUAAAAUAAAUUAAAGAAGUAAAUAAAUAAAUGAUGGCUUAUUUCAUAAUAGUUGUGACUUUGUAAAGCUUUUAAAUCUGCUUUCCCCAGAGUCUAGCUUUUAAAUAAAAUACAGGAUAUAAAAGGUGGGAGCCUCUUGAAUGGAAUGUGGGGGCUUUUUCUCUCUCCCCAUAGGAUAGAUAUAUUCUGUUUCCUGUCCCCCACCGAGUCAAGAAUAAUUUAAGUUUUGGCAUAAGAAACUGCUGAAGGAAAGUGGGUUGAAUCGGCUAAUAUUUUUCUUCUUUUUGCAGGAUAUAGAAGACUUAGAUCACUGUGAGAUGAAAGAAGAGCCUACUAGUGAGAAGAAGUUGGAGGAUGAAGGAACUGAAAAAGAAAACUGGGCAAUAUUAGAGAAAAUUAGGAAGACUGAAAGGCAAGGCCAUUUAAAUGUGUUGACCCUGAUAGUUCUUUGCACAGUGAUCUUCAGAUCUUAAAAGAAAAAGAA